rnacentral:tRNA from 1 species
UAUAUUUUAGUAUAGGGCGUAUAUAAGUCUUUGAAACUUAAGGUAAUAGUUUGAUUCUAUUAAAUAUAA